rnacentral:rRNA from 1 species
GACGAACGCUGGCGGCGUGCUUAACACAUGCAAGUCGAACGGAAAGGCCCUGCUUUUGUGGGGUGCUCGAGUGGCGAACGGGUGAGUAACACGUGAGUAACCUGCCCUUGACUUUGGGAUAACUUCAGGAAACUGGGGCUAAUACCGGAUAGGAGCUCCUGCUGCAUGGUGGGGGUUGGAAAGUUUCGGCGGUUGGGGAUGGGCUCGCGGCUUAUCAGCUUGUUGGUGGGGUAGUGGCUUACCAAGGCUUUGACGGGUAGCCGGCCUGAGAGGGUGACCGGCCACAUUGGGACUGAGAUACGGCCCAGACUCCUACGGGAGGCAGCAGUGGGGAAUAUUGCACAAUGGGCGGAAGCCUGAUGCAGCAACGCCGCGUGCGGGAUGACGGCCUUCGGGUUGUAAACCGCUUUCGCCUGUGACGAAGCGUGAGUGACGGUAAUGGGUAAAGAAGCACCGGCUAACUACGUGCCAGCAGCCGCGGUGAUACGUAGGGUGCGAGCGUUGUCCGGAUUUAUUGGGCGUAAAGGGCUCGUAGGUGGUUGAUCGCGUCGGAAGUGUAAUCUUGGGGCUUAACCCUGAGCGUGCUUUCGAUACGGGUUGACUUGAGGAAGGUAGGGGAGAAUGGAAUUCCUGGUGGAGCGGUGGAAUGCGCAGAUAUCAGGAGGAACACCAGUGGCGAAGGCGGUUCUCUGGGCCUUUCCUGACGCUGAGGAGCGAAAGCGUGGGGAGCGAACAGGCUUAGAUACCCUGGUAGUCCACGCUGUAAACGGUGGGUACUAGGUGUGGGGUCCAUUCCACGGGUUCCGUGCCGUAGCUGACGCUUUAAGUACCCCGCCUGGGGAGUACGGCCGCAAGGCUAAAACUCAAAGGAAUUGACGGGGCCCCGCACAAGCGGCGGAGCAUGCGGAUUAAUUCGAUGCAACGCGUAGAACCUUACCUGGGUUUGACAUGGAUCGGGAGUGCUCAGAGAUGGGUGUGCCUCUUUUGGGGUCGGUUCACAGGUGGUGCAUGGCUGUCGUCAGCUCGUGUCGUGAGAUGUUGGGUUAAGUCCCGCAACGAGCGCAGCCCUUGUUCACUGUUGCCAGCACGUUAUGGUGGGGACUCAGUGGAGACCGCCGGGGUCAACUCGGAGGAAGGUGGGGAUGACGUCAAGUCAUCAUGCCCCUUAUGUCCAGGGCUUCACGCAUGCUACAAUGGCUGGUACAGAGAGUGGCGAGCCUGUGAGGGUGAGCGAAUCCCGGAAAGCCGGUCUCAGUUCGGAUUGGGGUCUGCAACUCGACCUCAUGAAGUCGGAGUCGCUAGUAAUCGCAGAUCAGCAACGCUGCGGUGAAAACGUUCCCGGGGCU